rnacentral:tRNA from 1 species
AUAAAGUUGGCAGAAAUAUGUGUGUAAUUUAGGGUUAUUUAAUAAGGUUAGUUCCUUACUUUAUA